CAGCCUUUGUUUUCAUCUUGUCCUUUUCUUUGCAUGGAGCAGGCAAGCAACCUUUGGUACUAUCUCACUGAUAUGUAUCUUUCAUCACAAUUAUAAGUCCGUAAAAGGAGAGAUAUCUCUAUGUAUUUUGUUUUUUCCUUGUGUCUCAAAUGACUUUAAUUUGUUUCCUUUGCCACUGAGUACGCUAGAAUCCACUACUGUAGUGCCUUGAUGACAAA
rnacentral:lncRNA from 1 species